rnacentral:rRNA from 1 species
GACGAACGCUGGCGGCGUGCUUAACACAUGCAAGUCGAACGGAAAGGCCCCUUUGGGGGUACUCGAGUGGCGAACGGGUGAGUAACACGUGAGUAACCUGCCCUUGACUUCGGGAUAACUUCAGGAAACUGGGGCUAAUACCGGAUAGGAAUCCUUGCUGCAUGGUGGGGGUUGGAAAGCUUCGGCGGUUUUGGAUGGACUCGCGGCUUAUCAGCUUGUUGGUGGGGUAGUGGCUUACCAAGGCUUUGACGGGUAGCCGGCCUGAGAGGGCGACUGGCCACAUUGGGACUGAGAUACGGCCCAGACUCCUACGGGAGGCAGCAGUGGGGAAUAUUGCACAAUGGGCGGAAGCCUGAUGCAGCAACGCCGCGUGCGGGAUGACGGCCUUCGGGUUGUAAACCGCUUUCAGCAGGGGCGAAGCUUGUGGUGACGGUACCUGCAGAAGAAGCACCGGCUAACUACGU